rnacentral:rRNA from 1 species
UACGUAGGGGGCAAGCGUUGUCCGGAAUCAUUGGGCGUAAAGCGCGUGUAGGCGGCUCGGUAAGUCCGCUCUGAAAGCCCGGGGCUCAACCCCGGGAGGCGGGUGGAUACUGCUGAGCUCGAGUCCGGAAGAGGAGUGUGGAAUUCCUGGUGUAGCGGUGAAAUGCGCAGAUAUCAGGAAGAACACCCGUGGCGAAGGCGGCUCUCUGGGACGGUACUGACGCUGAGACGCGAAAGCGUGGGGAGCGAACAGG